rnacentral:rRNA from 1 species
UACAGGGGGUGCAAACGUUGCUCGGAAUUAUUGGGCGUAAAGCGCACGUAGGCGGUCUGUUAUGUCGGAUGUGAAAGCCCUUGGCUCAACUGAGGAAGUGCAUCCGAAACUGGCAGGCUAGAGUACGUAAGAGGGUCGCGGAAUUCCAGGUGUAGCGGUGAAAUGCGUAGAUAUCUGGAGGAACACCGGUGGCGAAGGCGACAUCCUGGACCAACACUGACGCUGAGGAGCGAAAGCCAGGGGAGCAAACGGG